rnacentral:lncRNA from 1 species
GGGAGAGAGGAAGGAACACCAUGAAAUCAGGAACCUGACUGGGCAUACAGCGUUCGGAAAGUUGGUGAACUGAUGAAGCAGUCAGGCGAUCAUAAAAGCACCUUUGAUGAACACCUUCUGGAUUUUGACCAGUAAAUGCGCAGUACGAGUAAGUAACUUCAGUGUCAUUCAACGACAGGAGCACGUCUACCAUAAAUGCAGAAAACGUCGUUUCUGUACCGGAGGACUCGAGAGAAGUUUAUGGGCACGUUUUUGGUGGCCGCUUUCGGGGAACGAUGAUUUGGGUAAUUCUCGUUGGACGGAAGAUUUCGGGGCCCGAUUAAGCGGAACGACUGAUGAAGAGACUUGGAAAUCCAGCUCUCCGGCUGAAAGGUACUGCGUACUUAAUAAAGAUGAUGACAGUCGCGAGAGCCUUUGUGAGCUACUCGAAAGGCCUACUAGGCUCUUCUUUUUCGUGGAACCAACUUGUACGCUUAAAACAGCUCUGGUAAAUAAAACCGGCGAUAAUCUGGCCAAUUAUCUGAUCUAAAUCUGGCGAGGAAGUAAUUUUUAUUAGACAUUCUCUCGUAAUAAUAAGCAGUUGGCCCUUGUACGUGCUUGUGUCUAUGUUUCUUAUCAAGU